rnacentral:rRNA from 1 species
AAAUUGAAGAGUUUGAUCAUGGCUCAGAUUGAACGCUGGCGGCAGGCCUAACACAUGCAAGUCGAACGGUAACAGGAAGCAGCUUGCUGCUUCGCUGACGAGUGGCGGACGGGUGAGUAAUGUCUGGGAAACUGCCUGAUGGAGGGGGAUAACUACUGGAAACGGUGGCUAAUACCGCAUAACGUCGCAAGACCAAAGAGGGGGACCUUCGGGCCUCUUGCCAUCAGAUGUGCCCAGAUGGGAUUAGCUGGUUGGUGAGGUAACGGCUCACCAAGGCGACGAUCCCUAGCUGGUCUGAGAGGAUGACCAGCCACACUGGAACUGAGACACGGUCCAGACUCCUACGGGAGGCAGCAGUGGGGAAUAUUGCACAA